rnacentral:lncRNA from 1 species
AGGCCAAAACCGUUCCCGAAAUAUCCAUUGUUCUUCCCUAAACAAAAAACCACCAUCCGUCACGCGCCAGCACGAAUCCCGUGCUCCGCCUCGUCCUCGCUUUCUCUCUUCCCUCUCCCUCUUUCUCCUCUAAUUAAAAAUUAAAAAAAAAAAAAAAAGGAAAUCCUAAUCCUAACCCGAGCCCUGGAAGUUUGAAUGCCUUCGAGAAUCCCCAAUUUCUCCACUUUCCAAUGCGCGACUUCGAUCGGGGCUACCCCGCCUCGCUCCGUCCCUACGACGAUGGCCGGGGGCUGGAGGUCGUGAGUGGGAAGGCCAGCCAGACGAAUAUCUGCCGCCUUCCUUCGCCGCCUGUGGUGCGGCGGCCGCGGGCGGUCGGGGGAGGGGGCGUCCUCACGUCGUCGUCGGGGGCGGCGCCGUCGCGUGCCGCGGACGCAGAGGCGAAGCGGCGGCGGAGGGUGGCGGGAUACAAGGCCUACACGGUGGAGAGCAAGGUCAAGUCCUCGAUCCGCAAGGGCCUCCGGUGGGUCAAGGGCAUCGUCCGCGGCUGGUGAUGUUGCGGCGAUGAUCUCGCAGGAGACGUGGCGGAGACCUUUUGCCUCCAUUGUGACCGAACUGCCCUCCUUGUUUUGGUGUAUUACGUCUAGGUGCGUCGGAGUCCGGUCACCGGAGGCGAUGGAUGGGAUGCGGACGGAUGGCGCGGGUGUAAUAGGGGGGCAUUUUGGGAUCGUUGUGGAUUGUUUCGCGAUUAUUGUUGCAUUCUUUUAUUUUUUUUGUUUGCUAAAAUUUUAAAAUGUGUACUUGCUUGCCGAUUUUAAUUCAUGGUUAGUUCGUUGGGGCCUUGUAUUUUUAUUUUAUUAUUAUCUGGUAUUUUAUUUGAUUAAUUCGUCAUUUUUUUAAAGAACAUGAGAGGGACCCACUUAACAUACUCUAUUCAUGUUCCAAAAAUCUUGUUUAAAUAAUUCUUGAUGGA